rnacentral:rRNA from 1 species
AGUGAACGCUGGCGGCAGGCCUAACACAUGCAAGUCGAACGGCAGCACCGUAAGAGCUUGCUCUUACGGGUGGCGAGCGGCGGACGGUUGACGAUUACAUCGGAAUCUACUUUUUCGCGGGGGAUAACGUAGGGAAACUUACUCUAAUACCGCAUACGAUCUACGGGUGAAAGCAGGGGAUCUUUUGGCCUUGCGCGAUUGAAUGAGCCGAUGUCGGCUUAGCUAGUUGGCGGGGGAAAGGCCCACCAAGGCGACGAUCCGUAGCUGGUCCGAGAGGGUGAUCAGCCAGAAUGGAAGUGAGGCACAGUCCCGACUCCUACGGGAGGCAGCAGUGGGGAAUACUGGACAAGGGGGGCAAGCCGAAUACAGCCCGACCGCGUGGGUGAAGAAGGCCUUAUGGUUGUAGAGCCCUUUUGUUGGGAAAGAUAAGCAGCAGGUUGAUACCCCGCUGUUCUGACGGUACCCGAAGAAUAAGCACCGGCUAACUUCGUG